GAUUAUGGCAUCUGUAACUGUGCUAUAUAAAAAUUAUCUUGCCAGUCCAUUUUUAUUCAAAUAAAAUGGUUCGAGAGUCAAUACCUUCAUUAGGAUAUUUUGUACAUAUGGAACUUAACCUAACAUCUGAAGGCUAUAACCUAAUUUCAAUAUCUUUCGUAAUAAAAUCAUAGGGAUACGAAAGUAAUAAAAAUGAAAGCAUUCAGUUCUAAUCGAGUUUAGUUUUAAAGGGACACAGUGUGAGCAUUAGGAAAGUUAGAAGGGUUUGAAAGGAGGCGUUGGAUUUUGAAUUCCUGAAUAUUGCAAUAACUAUAGAAUUAUAGAAUGCAGCUGGC